rnacentral:tRNA from 1 species
CAGAGAAUAGUUUAUUAAAAAUAUUAGUUUUGGGGAUUAAUGAUAGAGAGUGUUCUCUUUCUCUGA